GAUGAACGCUAGCUACAGGCCUAACACAUGCAAGUCGAGGGGCAGCAUGGAGAAAGCUUGCUAUUGCUGCUGGCGACCGGCGCACGGGUGAGUAACGCGUAUCCAACCUACCCCGCGGUCAGGGACAGCCCGGCGAAAGUCGGAUUAAUACCUGAUGCAGUCAGAAGAGGGCAUCUGAUUUUGACGAAAGAUUGAUCGCCUCGGGAUGGGGAUGCGUAGGAUUAGGCAGGCGGCGGGGUAACGGCCCACCGCGCCGACGAUCCUUAGGGGUUCUGAGAGGAAGGUCCCCCACACUGGUACUGAGACACGGACCAGACUCCUACGGGAGGCAGCAGUGAGGAAUAUUGGUCAAUGGGCGGGAGCCUGAACCAGCCAAGUAGCGUGCAGGACGACGGCCCUAUGGGUUGUAAACUGCUUUUAUGCGGGGAUAAAGUGCGGCACGUGUGCCGUUUUGUAGGUACCGCAUGAAUAAGGACCGGCUAAUUCCGUGCCAGCCGCCGCGGUAAUAC
rnacentral:rRNA from 1 species